UUUAAUAGAUGUUGUUGAGGAGUUUGAGAAAUUUGAUACAGAGCUCAUGGAAGACGUAGGGAGUUCUUCAAGACCUACUUCUUUGGUUGGAGAUGAUUAAAUUUAAGGUUUGUUGAAUGGAGUAUUGGAGUUGGUGGCUUGGUGCAUAGCUAUUUGUUCUAGUUGUAAAGUUUUUUAUUAGAUGUUCUUGUAAUUUGGACUUCUAAUUUGGAUUUUUAAUUUGGACUUGUAAUUUGUUAGACUUUUGGA